UCCAGACUCCUACGGGAGGCAGCAGUGAGGAAUAUUGGUCAAUGGGAGGAAUCCUGAACCAGCCAUGCCGCGUGCAGGACGACGGCUCUACGAGUUGUAAACUGCUUUUGUACCGGGGUAAAAUGCCUUACGAGUAGGGUUUUGAAAGUACGGUACGAAUAAGGAUCGGCUAACUCCGUGCCAGCAGCCGCGGUAAUACGGAGGAUCCGAGCGUUAUCCGGAUUCAUUGGGUUUAAAGGGUGCGUAGGUUGUUUUAUAAGUUAGCGGUGAAAUACCGAUGCUCAACAUCGGGGCUGCCGCUAAUACUGUAGGACUAGAGAUCGGAUGCAGCAGGCGGAAUGUGUAGUGUAGCGGUGAAAUGCAUAGAUAUCAGGAGGAACACCGGCGGCGAAGGCGGCCUGCUGGACCGUGACUGACGUUGAGGCUCGAGAGCGUGGGGAGCAAACAGGAUUAGAUACCCCAGUA
rnacentral:rRNA from 1 species